UACGAAGGGGGCUAGCGUUGCUCGGAUUGACUGGGCGUAAAGGGCGCGUAGGCGGUUCGUACAGUCAGACGUGAAAUUCCUGGGCUCAACCUGGGGGCUGCGUUUGAUACGUGCGGACUUGAGUGCGGAAGAGGGUCGUGGAAUUCCCAGUGUAGAGGUGAAAUUCGUAGAUAUUGGGAAGAGCACCGUUGGCGAAGGCGGCGACCUGGUCCGAUACUGACGCUGAGGCGCGAAAGCGUGGGGAGCAAACAGG
rnacentral:rRNA from 1 species